AAUUUCUCUCCUGUAUAUAGCAAUUAUUCACGAUUAUUCUAGCUAUUGAACCAUAUCCUAUAUAGAAUGAGUGUAGUUAUUGUUCUCGAAUCACGUAACUCAAUCUGAAAAGAGUAGUCAUGAUGAAAAAUCCAUCUUUAAUCACUACAAACUUUUAUUUGUUACAAAAAUAGUAGAAAAAUAAGGACAAUCUCAAUUCAUAUGAUCUAAUUUAAUUAAUGAGCUUAUCCCGUUAUUAUCUGCUUAUUCCAGUCAAUUCCAAGUAGGAUAUAAAUUCAAUGCAGUAACAGGAUAUUGUAAAGUACUUUGACCAUAUAAAUAUGGACUGCUAGUAGCUCACUUCACUCGUGAUGCCAAUAUUAAUUUGAACAAUGACGCUAUCAUGUCCCACGAACUAAAAUGCGUGACGUCACGUGAGUUGAAGCGUGAGUGAUUAGUCAGUGCAUGGUUGCGUUUCGUUUCGCGCAUUAUGCGCACGGAUUACAUAGAAAACGUUCCCUUUCACUCAAUUUGUGCAUAAACAGCGCUUAGAAUUCCCAUCACCUGCAGCGCAUAAUGCACGCAUUAGCCUCAAGUUCAAACUAUAGCAACUUAUGCGUUCUUCUUUCUAUGCGAUUGUAUAAUUGUAUGUGGCGGUUGAUGGCAUUGUGAAAAGUGUUGAAUUCUAGUUUUACAUAAAAGUGUCAGUGAAGAUAUGGAAGAGACAUUGUUAGAGUUCCCAGUCCCAUUGAAGAAACGCAGAGCGUCAUCACAUUAUUUCUUACUCAGGAAAUAAUUAAUAAAGUUCAAACAAUCAUUAACAUUUGGUCAAAUAUAUUUAUCAAAAGUUGCUGUAAUCGCUCGUAAACAGAGUAAGCAGAAUAAUUCUACUGACUUCUCAAGUUCUUUAGAAAUUAGUCAGCCUUCAUCAGCAUUGUCGAAGAAAAUGAUUGUUCGAAUACAAAAGGAUUUAUAUGGUGCUGCAGUAUAUUUACUAUUAGAAUUGUAGGGAGAAAGAAUCCGAUUUCAAUUCGGGAUCUAAAAGAAAUGCUACUAUUUGGGCUAAAUUAGCAGAAAAA